GAUGAACGCUGGCGGCGUGCCUAAUACAUGCAAGUCGAGCGAACAGACGAGGAGCUUGCUCCUCUGACGUUAGCGGCGGACGGGUGAGUAACACGUGGAUAACCUACCUAUAAGACUGGGAUAACUUCGGGAAACCGGAGCUAAUACCGGAUAAUAUAUUGAACCGCAUGGUUCAAUAGUGAAAGACGGUUUUGCUGUCACUUAUAGAUGGAUCCGCGCCGCAUUAGCUAGUUGGUAAGGUAACGGCUUACCAAGGCAACGAUGCGUAGCCGACCUGAGAGGGUGAUCGGCCACACUGGAACUGAGACACGGUCCAGACUCCUACGGGAGGCAGCAGUAGGGAAUCUUCCACAAUGGGCGAAAGCCUGACGGAGCAACGCCGCGUGAGUGAUGAAGGUCUUCGGAUCGUAAAACUCUGUUAUUAGGGAAGAACAAAUGUGUAAGUAACUAUGCACGUCUUGACGGUACCGAAUCAGAAAGCCACGGCUAACUACGU
rnacentral:rRNA from 1 species